rnacentral:piRNA from 1 species
GCCAUGGAGCGUUUCGGGUCCAGG